CUGAUGGUCAGAUUUUACUUGAUCACCGGAGGUUUGUGGGUUUGUUCCAACAGCAUCUGCCUUCGUCUUCUAGGGCGGCGCCACGUAGUGAAGCUUCAACUGAUCAACCUCCGAUAUCUCUUCCUUCCGUGGCCCCACCGACUGCUGAGACUCCGCCGACUACUGCGACCUCUCCCAAGCAGCCUUUGUGAAGGCUCCCUCUUGUAUUAUGCUAUGUUUCUUU
rnacentral:lncRNA from 1 species